GACGAACGCUGGCGGCGUGCUUAACACACGCGAGUCGAACGGUGACGGAGAGCUUGCUCUCCUGAUCAGUGGCGAACGGGUGAGUAACACGUGGGCAACCUGCCCAGACUUCGGGAUAACGCUUCGAAAGAGGUGCUAAUACCGAAUACGAACCUCCCUGGCAUCUGGGAGGUUGGAAAGUUUUCGGUCUGGGAUGGGCCCGCGGCCUAUCAGCUUGUUGGUGAGGUAACGGCUCACCAAGGCGACGACGGGUAGCCGGCCUGAGAGGGCGACCGGCCACACUGGGACUGAGACACGGCCCAGACUCCUACGGGAGGCAGCAGUGGGGAAUAUUGCGCAAUGGGCGAAAGCCUGACGCAGCAACGCCGCGUGAGGGAUGACGGCCUCGGUUGGUAACCUACUUCUAGUCAGGAAGAAGACGAAGUAGACGGUACCUGCAGAAGAAGACACCGGACUAACUACGUAGCC
rnacentral:rRNA from 1 species